AUUGAACGCUGGCGGCAUGCUUUACACAUGCAAGUCGAACGGUAACAGGCCGCAAGGUGCUGACGAGUGGCGAACGGGUGAGUAAUGCAUCGGAACGUGCCCAGUCGUGGGGGAUAACGCAGCGAAAGCUGCGCUAAUACCGCAUACGGUCUAUGGAUGAAAGCGGGGGACCGUAAGGCCUCGCGCGAUUGGAGCGGCCGAUGUCAGAUUAGGUAGUUGGUGGGGUAAAGGCUCACCAAGCCAACGAUCUGUAGCUGGUCUGAGAGGACGACCAGCCACACUGGGACUGAGACACGGCCCAGACUCCUACGGGAGGCAGCAGUGGGGAAUUUUGGACAAUGGGCGCAAGCCUGAUCCAGCAAUGCCGCGUGCAGGAAGAAGGCCUUCGGGUUGUAAACUGCUUUUGUACGGAACGAAACGGUCCUGGUUAAUACCUGGGGCUAAUGACGGUACCGUAAGAAUAAGCACCGGCUAACUACGUGCCAGCAGCCGCAGUAACAC
rnacentral:rRNA from 1 species